CUUGCCUGGGGCUUGCCUGGGGCCGCCCGGAGCCCUGGGAGCCUGGCUUGCUGGAGGCUGCUCUGAAGUGGCGCAGUUGAACCCGGGGCAGCUGUGCCAGGAGACCGGUGGGAGGGGGGCGAAGGCAAGAGGGCUCGGAGGCGCUGCAGGCCCACCAUGUGGCUCCUUCCUUCUGGGGUCGGACUUGGCCCGGGAGUGAAGUCGGAGGCCGGGAAGCAGAGGUCAAGGGAACUUCGAGAUGCACCUCCACCUCCAAGAAAGUCUGGGUCUGUGAUAGCUAGCUCACAAGAGAGCAAAUGUUUGGAGAUUGCCAGUGGAAGUGAGGCCUGUGGUCCUUACGGAGUCAUCAGGCCCGGAGGGCAGACUCUGAUCACUAUGGUAACCAGUGUGCAGAGGGAAGAAGAUCCUGAUUGGAUCAGACUUCUGGUACCCUCUACUCCAAGAGGACUGCCCCAUUGUACAGAGCCUAAGUGGUAGCAAGAGGGGAGAGGAUCUCCCAGCCAGUGAUGGAAACACAAACCCAGGGGUACUCAAUUCUCCAUAAUCACCAUGUCCCCAGAUCUUAGCCUUUGUCCCAGUUCAAUAAAUAUUUAUUGAAGGUAAAAGCAUUUUAUAAACUGGAAACUACUAAACACGUAGUAAUUUUUGCCACCAUAGAGUUAUU